UCGACCAAACUUCGAUUAAUUUAAUCGUUGAUUAAAGUGUUGCCAACACUGACAAAUGAAACAUUUCGUACUAGGAACAGAGAGGGAAAUUUCUUGUUCUUUUCUAUAACCUCAAUUUAUGUAGUACUCUCAGACUGUCGGACGAGAACCUAAAAUAAAUGUAAAUGUAAAUAAAUAAAUGUAAAAUAAAUAUACAUAUAAAUGUAAAUGUAUGUUUUAUUAGAGAAAUAAAGAUCGUGUACAGAAGCGGUGAAUAAGAUUAAGUGGUACAAUAUGCAAGCAAAUAUGCAACGAGCAAAAAAGUUUACUACUUCUGAAAAGAAUGAUUUAUUAGAUAUCAUUUUUUUAUAUUGUCAUGUACUUGAAAAUAAAGUAACCGAUAACUAAUCUAAAGAAAGAUGAAGCAUGGACCAAUAUUACAAUUGAAUAUAACAAAAAUAGAACAACUAUACGAUCAGAAAAAAAUUUACGACUUUGUUGGGAUAACAUUAAAAGAGAUACAAGAAAAUACUAUGCAACAUUAAAACGCGAAACUUAUAAAACAGGUGGAGGAGUAGUCACUUUAGAAAAAAAUCCUAUAUUCGAGCGAGCGAAGGAAAUUUUAGGUGAUACAACAGUAUCAGGCUUAGCUAAUCCUUUUGAUUCUGAUUAUGUUGACACUAUCGGUACUGUUGAUAACAAAUUACAAAAGAACACUGUUAUUGACCUACAAGAUGAAGAUAAUGAAAAUGAUCCACAAGAGAUA